CAAGACAUAGCUUAAAUUAAAGCGCUUCGCUUACACCGAACCAAUGCCUGCCAAACACUGGCUGUCUUGAG
rnacentral:tRNA from 1 species